rnacentral:rRNA from 1 species
UACGUAGGGUGCGAGCGUUGUCCGGAAUUAUUGGGCGUAAAGAGCUCGUAGGCGGUCUGUCGCGUCUGCUGUGAAAACUCGGGGCUUAACCCCGGGCCUGCAGUGGGUACGGGCAGACUAGAGUGCAGUAGAGGCAAGCGGAAUUCCAGGUGUAGCGGUGAAAUGCGUAGAUAUCUGGAAGAACACCGGUGGCGCAAGCGGCUUGCUGGGCUGUAACUGACGCUGAGGAACGAAAGCUAGGGUAGCGAAUGGG